GUUAAUUAUUUUUGUAACGGGCAAUCUUGUAAGCUAUGCAAGAUGCCAGUUCCAAACAGUCACAGAUUGCUCUGUCAAAAAACUAUGACCUUAGCAUUCCAUCGUGCUACUCUAUUUAGAGAUCUAGCUUGCGAAACUUACAACGGAAAGAAUGCUAACCAGGAAGAACGUCACCAGUGAUGUGCAUUCUUAGAAUCAGCACACCACUGUCUAACUCGACUACCCCUUUGCCUAGUCAUCUGAAUCAGCUUUAAUCUGCUAAAUGGAUUGUGCACCCCUUUGUUUGGUUUCCAACGCUUAACCAUUACCAACCAACACAAGUAGACAAUGGCAUCGAAACAAUCCCUUUUGGUCUGCUAAACCUUCACCAUCUUCAGCAAAAUUACCAGCCCUACAGCUUCUGCAGUC